rnacentral:rRNA from 1 species
UACGGAGGGUGCAAGCGUUAUCCGGAUUCACUGGGUUUAAAGGGUGCGUAGGUGGGUUGAUAAGUCAGUGGUGAAAUCCCCGAGCUUAACUUGGGAACUGCCAUUGAUACUAUUGAUCUUGAAUACCGUGGAGGUCAGCGGAAUAUGUCAUGUAGCGGUGAAAUGCUUAGAUAUGACAUAGAACACCAAUUGCGAAGGCAGCUGGCUACGCGAAUAUUGACACUGAUGCACGAAAGCGUGGGGGAUCAAAACAGG